UGCAGUCGAGCGGUAACAGAAAGUAGCUUGCUACUUUGCUGACGAGCGGCGGACGGGUGAGUAAUGCUUGGGAACAUGCCUUGAGGUGGGGGACAACAGUUGGAAACGACUGCUAAUACCGCAUAAUGUCUACGGACCAAAGGGGGCUUCGGCUCUCGCCUUUAGAUUGGCCCAAGUGGGAUUAGCUAGUUGGUGAGGUAAUGGCUCACCAAGGCGACGAUCCCUAGCUGGUUUGAGAGGAUGAUCAGCCACACUGGGACUGAGACACGGCCCAGACUCCUACGGGAGGCAGCAGUGGGGAAUAUUGCACAAUGGGCGCAAGCCUGAUGCAGCCAUGCCGCGUGUGUGAAGAAGGCCUUCGGGUUGUAAAGCACUUUCAGUCAGGAGGAAAGGUUAGUAGUUAAUACCUGCUAGCUGUGACGUUACUGACAGAAGAAGCACCGGCUAACUCCGUGCCAGCAGCCGCGGUAAUACGGAGGGUGCGAGCGUUAAUCGGAAUUACUGGGCGUAAAGCGUACGCAGGCGGUUUGUUAAGCGAGAUGUGAAAGCCCCGGGCUCAACCUGGGAACUGCAUUUCGAACUGGCAAACUAGAGUGUGAUAGAGGGUGGUAGAAUUUCAGGUGUAGCGGUGAAAUGCGUAGAGAUCUGAAGGAAUACCGAUGGCGAAGGCAGCCACCUGGGUCAACACUGACGCUCAUGUACGAAAGCGUGGGGAGCAAACGGGAUUAGAUACCCCGGUAGUCCACGCCGUAAACGAUGUCUACUAGAAGCUCGGAGCCUCGGUUCUGUUUUUCAAGCUAACGCAUUAAGUAGACCGCCUGGGGAGUA
rnacentral:rRNA from 1 species